ACGCUAGCGGCAAGCUUAAUACAUGCAAGUCGUGGGGCAGCAUGAAGUAGCAAUACUUUGAUGGCGACCGGCAAACGGGUGCGGAACACGUACACAACCUCCCGAUAAGUGGGGAAUAGCCCAGAGAAAUUUGGAUUAAUACCCCGUAACAUUGCGAUGUGGCAUCACAUUGCAAUUAUAGCUUCGGCGCUUAUUGAUGGGUGUGCGUAUGAUUAGAUAGUUGGCGAGGUAACGGCUCACCAAGUCUACGAUCAUUAGCUGAUGUGAGAGCAUGAUCAGCCACACGGGCACUGAGACACGGGCCCGACUCCUACGGGAGGCAGCAGUAAGGAAUAUUGGUCAAUGGACGAAAGUCUGAACCAGCUAUGCCGCGUGAAGGAUUAAGGUCCUCUGGAUUGUAAACUUCUUUUAUAUGGGACGAAAAAAGGUCUUUCUAGAUCACUUGACGGUACCAUAUGAAUAAGCACCGGCUAACUCCGUGCCAGCAGCCGCGGUAAUACGGAGGGUGCAAGCGUUAUCCGGAUUCACUGGGUUUAAAGGGUGCGUAGGCGGGCAGGUAAGUCAGUGGUGAAAUCCUGGAGCUUAACUCCAGAACUGCCAUUGAUACUAUCUGUCUUGAAUAUUGUGGAGGUAAGCGGAAUAUGUCAUGUAGCGGUGAAAUGCUUAGAUAUGACAUAGAACACCCAUUGCGAAGGCAGCUUACUACGCAUAUAUUGACGCUGAGGCACGAAAGCGUGGGGAUCAAACAGGAUUAGAUACCCUGGUAGUCCACGCCCUAAACGAUGGAUACUCGACAUACGCGAUACACUGUGUGUGUCUGAGCGAAAGCAUUAAGUAUCCCACCUGGGAAGUACGUUCGCAAGAAUGAAACUCAAAGGAAUUGACG
rnacentral:rRNA from 1 species